rnacentral:rRNA from 1 species
AGAAUCAACGCUGGCGGCGUGCCUAACACAUGCAAGUCGCACGAGAAAGUGGAGCAAUCCAUGAGUAAAGUGGCGCACGGGUGAGUAACACGUGAAUGAUCUACCUCCGAGUGGGGAAUAACUGAGAGAAAUCUUAGCUAAUACCGCAUAACACUUACGAGUCAAAGCAGCAAUGCGCUUGGAGAGGAGUUCGCGGCCGAUUAGCUAGUUGGCGGGUAAUGGCCCACCGAAGGCGAUGAUCGGUA